AAAAAAAAGAAUUUUCUCCAAAGAAAUCCUUCUUAUUUUUCUUUAAUAUCACCCAAGCUAAGGAUUCUGAUAAAGGGAUAAGAAGAGCAUUUCUCUUCAGAGAGUCUUAUGACCUAAAUGAAGAGACAAGGGCGGCAAAACCCAGGGAUACCUUCUUGAAGCUGUCAUUCCUCAAAUUCCUUCAGCUUAAAACCUUUCAUCUACCAAGGUGCCAAAUUUUGUGAUAAUGUGUUGUGAAACAGAGUGAUUGCUAAUACAUCUGCACCCUGUGGAUGCCCCUUCAGACUUAUUGGAAAGUCAGGUCUCUCCAUGUAUCCCCAAAACCAACAAGCUCCAGAGAAAAAAAUUUUAAAUCUCUAUCAAAAAAUAAAAGAUUGCAUCAGUC